UCGGGAAUUUUGCGCAAUGGGCGAAAGCCUGACGCAGCAACGCCGCGUGAGGGAUGAAGGCCUUCGGGUUGUAAACCUCUUUUCUCAGGGAAGAUUGUGACGGUACCUGAGGAAGAAGUCACGGCUAACUACGUGCCAGCAGCCGCGGUAAUACGUAGGUGACAAGCGUUGUCCGGAUUUACUGGGCGUAAAGAGCGCGCAGGCGGUCGUUCAAGUCGAGUGUGAAAGUCCCCGGCUCAACUGGGGAGGGUCACUCGAUACUGAUCGACUUGAAGGCAGGAGAGGGAAGUGGAAUUCCCGGUGUAGUGGUGAAAUGCGUAGAUAUCGGGAGGAACACCAGUGGCGAAGGCGACUUCCUGGCCUGUUCUUGACGCUGAGGCGCGAAAGCGUGGGGAGCAAACAG
rnacentral:rRNA from 1 species